AUGAAGGAACACUUUGAUGUUCGCAAUAUCCCAGAUGGAAUUGAACACGAAGAACUUUCGCAACGGUCCCGGUGGUCGACAAUCAACUCGGAUUGUCAAAGGUGGGCGGCCUGUCAAAAGGUGGUUGACAAGUUGAACCCAAGUGGCACAAAUGAGGAUGAUAGAAAGAGGAGAGGAAAACCAAGAAGGGGAAGAUCAAGAAAGGAAGGGUAUUUGCUUUGCCUCAUUGCUAUGAAGUGUUGA
rnacentral:rRNA from 1 species